rnacentral:RNase_P_RNA from 1 species
AAAGCAGGCCUUCUUAUCGCUUUUAUUUUUAAAAGAGGAAAGUCCGGACACCAAAGAGCAUUAUAGCGGGUAACGCCCGUCACUAUUUUUAAUAGAGGACAAGUGCAACAGAAAGAAUGUACAGUUCGGCUGUAGUGAAAUCAUGUAAACUCUAUAAGGUGAAACGUCACGUAUACCAACGUUUGAGAGCUGCUCGUUCGAUGUUGGAGGGUGGGCGGUUUGAGCAAAAUAGUAAUAUUUUGUCUAGAUAAAUGAUAAGACACGACAGAAUCCGGCUUAUGGCCUGCUUUUUUA